UACGGAGGGAGCUAGCGUUGUUCGGAAUGACUGGGCGUAAAGAGCACGUAGGUGGUUAAUUUAGUCAGGCGUGAAAGCCCUGGGCUUAACCCAGGAAUUGCGCUUGAUACUGGUUAACUUGAGUCCGAUAGGGGAAAGUGGAAUUCCUAGUGUAGAGGUGGAAUUCGUAGAUAUUAGGAGGAACACCAGAGGCGAAGGCGGCUUUCUGGAUCGGUACUGACACUGAGGUGCGAAAGCGUGGGGAGCAAACAGG
rnacentral:rRNA from 1 species